rnacentral:lncRNA from 1 species
AAAAUGAGGAAGACGCAAAAGCAGAAACCCCUGAUAAUACCAUCAGAUCUCGUGAGACUUAUUCACGACCGUGAGAACAUUAUGGGGGAAACCACCUCCAUGGUUCAAAUUAUCUCCCACCAGGUCCCUCCCACAACACGUGGGCAUUAUAGGAGUACAAUUCUAGAUGAGAUUUGAGAGAGGACACAGAGCCAAACCGUAUCACAGGAUAUGAAUGAGAAGAAUUGGAAGAAUAUCACCAGGCAGGGAAGAGUCAAUCAAGAAGUCACUGGUCCCAGAAGAAGAGGUAGCACAAGAAAAGGAAACCCAAGAAGCACCAGAGAGAAAGCAAACAACCAAGAAAGGCAAGAACACCUCACAUUGAGAAAAAGAAAGUCAGGCAGGAAAUUAUAUUUUUAAGUUAUUUGACCUGAUAUGUGCCAAAUGAGAACUUUUGCUGGCCUUUAUUUUUCCAAUAAAAU